rnacentral:rRNA from 1 species
AUUGAACGCUGGCGGCAGGCCUAACACAUGCAAGUCGAGCGAGCGGCGGACGGGUGAGUAAUGUCUGGGAAACUGCCCGAUGGAGGGGGAUAACUACUGGAAACGGUGGCUAAUACCGCAUACUAUCGGAUGUACCCAUAUGGGAUUAGCUAGUAGGUGGGGUAAAGGCUCACCUAGGCGACGAUCCCUAGCUGGUCUGAGAGGAUGAUCAGCCACACUGGAACUGAGACACGGUCCAGACUCCUACGGGAGGCAGCAGUGGGGAAUAUUGCACAAUGGGCGCAAGCCUGAUGCAGCCAGGCCGCGUGUAUGAAGAAGGCCUUAGGGUUGUAAAGCACUUUCAGCGAGGAGGCGUUACUCGCAGAAGAAGCACCGGCUAACUCCGUGCCAGCAGCCGCGGUAAUAC